CUCUGUGGCAAAGAAAGAUGCAGAUGUAAGUCUAUGCCAGUAUUAAUUUUGAGAAUUAAGAGAAUUUUUCAGUAAGAGAAAUUGUGAUGCCACCUAACAAGGAAACCAUAUAAAAGAAAAAGAAAAAAAAAAUGAACAAUUAAUCGCAAGAUGAACAUGCAGAUUAAUUUGGAUGAAGAAAAAGAGUUGUCCCAAAGGAAGAUUAAGGAAAUUAAAGAACUAUGCAUCCCCUUAAAAUUCCUUAUGAUACAAAAAACAAAAGGAAAGAGGUUGAAGAGUUGGGAAAUGUCUGAUAAAAGAACCUUCAAAUUUGUGGUAAUCAAUAAGCCAGUAGUCAUGUUAAGAAUUAAGAGAUUCUUGCAGUAAAAAAAAUUGUGAAUCCAACCAACGCAUUGAUAACAUGGAAUCAUGGAGAAAAAAAUUGAACGAACAAACACAGAACUUAAAUUGUCUCAAAAGCCAAAAUACACUAGGUAAAAAGAAAAAAGAAGGAAAAGGUCAUGUGGAAGAUUGAAGAGGGAAGAAAAUUUUGAAGAACUCUGUAACCCAUAAAAGUUCCAUGUGAUAUCAAUAAAAAGGGAAGAAGCAAGGUCACCUUG
rnacentral:lncRNA from 1 species